rnacentral:rRNA from 1 species
AUUGAACGCUGGCGGCAGGCCUAACACAUGCAAGUCGAGCGAGCGGCGGACGGGUGAGUAAUGUCUGGGAAACUGCCUGAUGGAGGGGGAUAACUACUGGAAACGGUAGCUAAUACCGCAUACCAUCAGAUGUGCCCAGAUGGGAUUAGCUAGUCGGUGGGGUAACGUCUCACCUAGGCGACGAUCCCUAGCUGGUCUGAGAGGAUGACCAGCACAACUGGAUCUGAGCCACUGUCCAUACUCCUACGGGAGGCAGUAGUAGUGAAUAUUUCACAAUGGGCGCAAGCCUGAUGCAGCCAUGCCGCGUGUGUUAAGAAUGCCUUCGGGUUGUAAAGCACUUGCAGCGGGGAGGCGUUACCCGCAGAAGAAGCACCGGCUAACUCCGUGCCAGCAGCCGCGGUAAUC